rnacentral:lncRNA from 1 species
AUGGGUGAUGUUGAAAAAGGCAAGAGAAUUUUUGUUCAGAAGUGUGCCCAGUUCCACACUGUUGAAAAGGGAGGCAAACAGGUGGCUGGGUCAAAUCUCCAUGGUCUCUUUGUGGGGAAGACAGAUCAGGCCAUUGGAUUCUCUUAUACAGAGGCCCAUAAGAACAAAAGCAUCUCCUGGGGAGAGGAUACACUCAUGGAGUAUUUGGAGAAUCCCAAGAAGCACAUCCCCGGAACAAAAAUGAUCUUCGCAGGCAUGAAGAACAAGGCAGAAAGGGCAGCCUUGAUAGCUCAUCUCAAAAAAAGCUACCAAU